AUUGAACGCUGGCGGCAGGCCUAACACAUGCAAGUCGAACGGUAGCACAGAGAGCUUGCUCUCGGGUGACGAGUGGCGGACGGGUGAGUAAUGUCUGGGAAACUGCCCGAUGGAGGGGGAUAACUACUGGAAACGGUAGCUAAUACCGCAUAACGUCUUCGGACCAAAGUGGGGGACCUUCGGGCCUCACACCAUCGGAUGUGCCCAGAUGGGAUUAGCUAGUAGGUGGGGUAAUGGCUCACCUAGGCGACGAUCCCUAGCUGGUCUGAGAGGAGAAACAGCCACACUGGAAAUGGGACACGCGGCAGACUCCGACGGGAGGCAGCAGUGGGGAAUAUUGCACAAUGGGCGCAAGCCUGAUGCAGCCAUGCCGCGUGUAUGAAGAAGGCCUUCGGGUUGUAAAGUACUUUCAGCGGGGAGGAAGGCGAUGAGGUUAAUAACCGCAUCGAUUGACGUUACCCGCAGAAGAAGCACCGGCCAACUCCGUGCCAGCAGCCGCGGUAAAAC
rnacentral:rRNA from 1 species